AAGACAAAAGCUCAGAGUCCGACAGUUGAGAUAUUUGUGCAUGAACAUUAGCAUGAGGUUUAUUUUGGCUUUUUGGUCUGAAUUUCAAGAUAAUCCCCUUCUUCAACCACAAGUUUUAAUAGCUAGGCAAAUGCUUGGAGCUUUAUUUCAAGCAUAAUGUAUUCAUGUGCUACUAGAAUCUUUCGCAACUGAUGUGCUGUCAACUUCAAAGAACAGUUUUCUGCACCAAUGUAAAAAUUGUGCAUCAACCAUGAUUUUGGGAGGAAAGCAAGACUGCAAGAGCUGCCCUAUUGGCAAUAUCUACUUCAAUUACGAAUAUUUGUUAUGGCUUGAUCUUUGAUACAGUUGAUGCAACUGAGGAUUUUCUUUC
rnacentral:lncRNA from 1 species